AGUGAACGCUGGCGGUAGGCCUAACACAUGCAAGUCGAACGGCAGCACAGUAAGAGCUUGCUCUUACGGGUGGCGAGUGGCGGACGGGUGAGGAAUACAUCGGAAUCUACUUUUUCGUGGGGGAUAACGUAGGGAAACUUACGCUAAUACCGCAUACGACCUACGGGUGAAAGCAGGGGAUCUUCGGACCUUGCGCGAUUGAAUGAGCCGAUGUCGGAUUAGCUAGUUGGCGGGGUAAAGGCCCACCAAGGCGACGAUCCGUAGCUGGUCUGAGAGGAUGAUCAGCCACACUGGAACUGAGACACGGUCCAGACUCCUACGGGAGGCAGCAGUGGGGAAUAUUGGACAAUGGGCGCAAGCCUGAUCCAGCUAUACCGCGUGGGUGAAGAAGGCCUUCGGGUUGUAAAGCCCUUUUGUCGGGAAAGAAAAGCAGCAGGUUAAUACCCCGCUGUUCUGACGGUACCCAAAGAAUAAGCACCGGCUAACUUCGUG
rnacentral:rRNA from 1 species